rfam:Clostridiales bacterium KA00274 genomic scaffold Scaffold22, whole genome shotgun sequence.
GGUCAAGUUACAAAGAGCGCAGGGUGAAUGCCUUGCCACCAUGAGACGAAGAAGGACGUGACAAGCUGCGAAAAGCUACGGGUAGGAGCACAUAUCCAUUGAUCCGUAGAUAUCCGAAUGGGGAAACCCGGUUUAGUUAAGAGCUAGAUCAGCAUAACAUGAAUACAUAGUGUUAUGCGGUGAGACGAGGUGAACUGAAACAUCUAAGUAGCCUCAGGAAGAGAAAUCAAACGAGAUUCCGUAAGUAGUGGCGAGCGAAAGCGGAAGAGGCCAAACUGAGUAACUACGGUUAUUCAGGGUAAGGACUACAAAAACGAAUGCAUAAGCUAGUCGAAUGAGCAGAAGGAAAGCUGAGUCCAAAGAGCGUAAUAGUCGCGUAGGCGAAAGCGAGUGCAACGAAGUAGGAUCCGGAGUACUGUGAGACACGAGAAAUCUUGCAGGAAGGAAGGGGGACCACCCUCUAAGCCUAAAUACUACAUGGUGAGCGAUAGAGAAGAAGUACUGUGAAGGAAAGGUGAAAAGAACCCCGGGAGGGGAGUGAAAAAGAACCUGAAACCCUGUGUUUACAAGCAGUUAGAGAGCGUUAAGGCUCGAUAGCGUACUUUUUGUAGAACGGUCCAACGAGUUAUGGCAGUGAGCGAGGUUAAGGACUAAAGGUCUGGAGCCGAAGGGAAACCGAGUGUGAAAAGCGCGGAAAGUUUGCUGUUAUAGACCCGAAACCGGGUGACCUACCCAUGAGCAGGUUGAAGGAGAGGUAAAACUCUCUGGAGGACCGAACACGUAUCUGUUGAAAAAGGUUGUGAUGACUUGUGGGUAGCGGAGAAAUUCCAAUCGAACCCGGAGAUAGCUGGUUCUCCCCGAAAUAACUUUAGGGCUAGCCCAAUCAAAGAAGUCUCACGGAGGUAGAGCACUGAAUGGUCUAGGGGCCUUACCAGGCUACCGAAACCUAUCAAACUCCGAAUGCCGCAGAGAUAUAGAUUGGAGUCAGUCAGUGACAGAUAAGUGCCAUUGACAAGAGGGAAACAACCCAGAUCGUCAGCUAAGGUCCCUAAAUUACAGCUAAGUGGAAAAGGAUGUGAGUUUGCAUAGACAGCUAGGAUGUUGGCUUAGAAGCAGCCACUCAUUAAAAGAGUGCGUAAUAGCUCACUAGUCGAGUGAAUUUGCGCCGAAGAUAAACGGGGCUAAGCUGUAUACCGAAGCUACGGAAUCGAGAGAUUGGUAGGGGAGCGUACUGUAAGCAGGAGAAGCAUGAACGGAAGUACAUGUGGAUGUAUCAGUAGUGAGAAUGUUGGAAUAAGUAACGAGAGCAUAGUGAGAAUCUAUGCCGUCGAAAAUCUAAGGUUUCCUGGGGAAGGUUCGUCCGCCCAGGGUUAGUCGGGACCUAAGACGAGGCCGAGAGGCGUAGCCGAUGGAGAACAGGUCAAAAUUCCUGUACCGCCGUUAUAUGUAUAAGAGAGGCAGGGACACAGGAGGAUAAUUUAGCUCACUGCAAAAAGAGUGAGUUCAAGCAGAGAAGCUGGGAUGUAGUAAAGAACGCAUCCAAAGGCAAGCUGUGAUGAGGAGGGAAAUAAAGUACCGAAGUAAAUGAUUCCACACUGGCGAGAAAAGCUGCUAUUUAGUAUAAAGGCGCCCGUACCGUAAACCGACACAGGUAGAUGAGGAGAGAAUCCUAAGACGAGCGGGAGAAGCGUUGUUAAGGAACUCGGCAAAUUAACCCCGUAAGUUCGCGAGAAGGGGAGCCUAAGCAAUUAGGUCGCAGAGAAAUGGCUCGAGCAACUGUUUAGCAAAAACACAGGUCUCCGCUAAAUCGAAAGAUGAAGUAUGGGGGCUGACGCCUGCCCGGUGCUGGAAGGUCAAGGGGAAAUGUUAGAGCAAUCGAAGCAUAGAACUUAAGCCCCAGUAAACGGCGGCCGUAACUAUAACGGUCCUAAGGUAGCGAAAUUCCUUGUCAGGUAAGUUCUGACCCGCACGAAUGGCGUAAUGACUUGAGCACUGUCUCAACAACGUACCCGGUGAAAUUGUAGUACUUGUGAAGAUGCAAGUUACCCGCAACUAGACGGAAAGACCCCAUGGAGCUUCACUGUAGAUUGUUACUGGGAUUCGAUAUUAUCUGUACAGCAUAGGUGGGAAGCUGAGAACUUGAGUCGUCAGAUUCAAGGGAGCUAACGGUGGGAUACCACUCUGAUGAUAUUGAAUUUCUAACCAGUUGCCAUAAUCUGGCAAUGGGACAAUGGCAGUCGGGCAGUUUGACUGGGGCGGUCGCCUCCAAAAAAGUAACGGAGGCGUUCAAAGGUUUCCUCAGCACGGUUGGAAAUCGUGCAACGAGUGCAAAGGCAUAAGGGAGCCUGACUGCGAGACGUACAUGUCGAGCAGAUACGAAAGUAGGACUUAGUGAUCCGGCGGUAGAAAGUGGAAUUGCCGUCGCUCAACGGACAAAAGUUACCCUGGGGAUAACAGGCUGAUUCCUCCCAAGAGUUCACAUCGACGGGGGAGUUUGGCACCUCGAUGUCGGCUCAUCACAUCCUGGAGGGGAAGUCCCUUCCAAGGGUUCGGCUGUUCGCCGAUUAAAGUGGUACGCGAGCUGGGUUCAGAACGUCGUGAGACAGUUCGGUCCCUAUCUGUUGUGGGCGUUGGAAAUUUGAGAAGAGCUGUCCCUAGUACGAGAGGACCGGGAUGGACAAACCUCUGGUGUACCAGUUGUCAUGUUCAUGGCACAGCUGGGUAGCUAAGUUUGGACGGGAUAAACGCUGAAAGCAUCUAAGCGUGAAGCCUCCUUCAAGAUGAGAUUUCCUAAACCUUCAAGGUUAUAAGAUCCCUGAAAGACAAACAGGUUGAUAGGUCUGGAGUGGAAGACAGUAAUGUACGUAGCGGACAGAUACUAAUGAUCGAAGACUUGACCAC